rnacentral:rRNA from 1 species
UACGUAGGGUGCGAGCGUUGUCCGGAUUCAUUGGGCGUAAAGAGCGUGUAGGCGGCCAGGUAGGUCGGUUGUGAAAACUGGAGGCUCAACCUUCAGAGGUCGACCGAAACCAUCUGGCUAGAGUCCGGGAGAGGAGAGUGGAAUUCCUGGUGUAGCGGUGAAAUGCGCAGAUAUCAGGAAGAACACCGGUGGCGAAGGCGGCUUCUUGGGCCUGGACUGACGCUGAGGCGCGAAAGCGUGGGGAGCAAACAGG